rnacentral:lncRNA from 1 species
CAGCCUCCUCAGUCCUCCCCGACUCUUCACUCUCAAUCCCAAUCCCUUACUUGAAAAAUUGAUAAAAUCAUGAAGAGCCCAUAACUUUUCUCAAGAAUUUGGUUCUACAAGAGGCUAUUUGCAGAAAUUGGAGCAAGAUUAUAAGAGAGUUGGAGAGUUGUAGUUCGAUUUGAAGAAAAGGAGUUCAAGACUUCAAGAAAUUGCAGGUUGGUUUGUAGAACAAUCUGUAUUGGUUUACAUUUUAGCAAGAAAGUAUGUUCUUUGCUGGUAGCUCAUAUGCAUUUCAUUUCUCUAUCUCAUAUUCAUUUCCUCGUUCGGUCUCGCUAAGAUGGCAUGGUUGAUUAUUGAAUCUGCAGAAAUUGCUACGGGAAGGUUUAGCUAAUUUGAGUGACGGUCCUAGCUUUAGGAAAGUUUCUGUAAUGUAAACGUAUAUGUAAUUGUUCUGUUUGUUGGGCCUAUGGUCCCUCCUUAAUUAUGGUAUAGCUAGGACUGGAGAUUUUGUUGUUCUUGUUCAAUAAUUGUUAGGACAGGUAUAGCUUAUGGUAUAGCUAGGACUGGUAUAGCUUAUGGUCCCUCCUCAAUAAUUGUUCUUGUUUUUUGGUCUUUCAACUUUAAAUCUUUGGAUUUAUUUUAGGUUUGGUGAUUUUGUUGAAUCAUAUGGUUUUAGUACUUGUAAUUUAUACGUAA